rnacentral:rRNA from 1 species
ACGAACGCUGGUGGCGUGCCUUAUACAUGCAAGUCGAGCGGGAUCCGGGGCAACCCGGUGAGAGCGGCGAACGGGUGAGUAACACGUGACCAACCUGCCCCCCAGGCGGGAAUAGCCUCCCCAACGGGAGAUUAAUGCCGGAUGCCGAGGCCCUCCGCAUGGAGGGUUGUCGAAAGCCUUCGGGCGCUGGGGGAUGGGGUCGCGGCGGAUUAGCUAGUUGGCGGGGCAACGGCCCACCAAGGCGACGAUCCGUAGCCGGCCUGAGAGGGUGACCGGCCACAUCGGGACUGAGAUACGGCCCGGACUCCUACGGGGGGCAGCAGUAGGGAAUAUUGCGCAAUGGGGGCAACCCUGACGCAGCAACGCCACGUGUGGGAAGACGCAUUUCGGUGUGUAAACCACUGUCGGCGGGGAACAAUGGGGCCUAGCGGCCGCUUGAGUGUACCCGCAAAGGAAGCACCGGCUAACUUCGU